rnacentral:misc_RNA from 1 species
GAAAUGAAAGGAUUUCAAUCUUGAUAAGCAUUUUGAAUAUAAAUACUUUUUUUUAAAACCAAUUAAAGUUUUUUUCAUCAAUUAAAUUAUAUUGUAAUAUUUUUAGUAAAUUAUCUUCUUUCUCCGUCCCUAUUGAACCAAUUAAAUACAAUGCAAUAUUGGACUCUCCAGUCCAAUCAACUGAAUAUAAUAGUAUUGUUGAAUUAUAAUAGUACGACAUUAUUCACUUCUAUACCUGGCAGGCAGAUGAUGAUGACCGAAUAAUCUUACCUGACCUUUGCAGAAAGAUUUACGGGCAAGAUAUGAGAUGGAGAAUUUUGAAAAAUAAUAAAUAGAUUUACUGCAGAAGUAAACAUUAAUUUUUUAACAAACAAAUAUCCUUUCAGUAACAUGAAUCAUGUUACAUGUAUUUUUGUAUAGGAGAUAACUCGGAAAAAUUUGACCCCAAAUUUCUGCUGAUGCUCCCCCUUUUUCCGUUGGGCUCAGUUCUUCGCCCAUUCUGGUGUGAAGAUACAUCAACUAAUGUUACUAAUUAUGUGCAAUUAAAGUAUAACAGAAUAAUUUUCUCAUUUUAGUUAAUAACAUUAUUUAAAUUUUUCUUUUAGUGUGUUACUUUCAGUGUUUUAUUCAGAAGAAAAAUUCAAGAUGAACGCUAAGGCCCAAAAAUAUGCAACAUUGUGUAGAGCUAUCAAAAAGAAAGAUGAAGAGACUAUUCGAAAAUUGGUAAAGUGUGGUACUCACUUAAAUUUACCAUCAAGAAAUCCCCAUGACUCACCUCUUCAUUUAUCGAUUAGAAGAUUUAUGAAUUCUAAAAUAAUAAAAUUGCUUCUAAAAAAAGGAGCUAAUACUACUCAUAAAAACCGAUACAGGGAGACACCCCUCGAUGUAGCUGUUAAAGUCAAAAACAAAAGAGCACUUGCAUUACUCUUGAAGCAUGGAAAUUAUAAAUCUACUGAAAUUAAUAAAGUGUUAAAAAUAGCUACUUCUAUGGUUGACCCAGACCUUGUGCAAAUUAUUCUGAAGUAUGAACCUCGAUGGAUUCCUACAAAAUUAUUAUUCCAAACAAGUAAAAAAGCCUCUUUAUGUAUUUAUCAUUACCUUAAAAAUGGAUAUAGAGUGCAUCCUUCCAGCAACGUUAUAAUUUUCGAGUUAGCUUAUCGUUUUACUGAAUCCGAAAACCUAGAAAUUCUUGAACAAAUUUUUAAAUUAGACAUUAAUGUUGAUGAGUACAAUCCUAAAACAGGAUUGACAUUGCUUCAUCUUGCUUGCCUUAAACAAAAUGCGAAAUUGGUGACUCUGCUGAUCCAACACAAAGCUAAUGUAAAUUUAGAAGUUCAUGAUACUGAUAAAAGCUUCUAUCAAGAUCCUUCUGAAGAAAUGCUACCAAUGGCUGGAAGAACGGCUUUGUAUAUUGCUGUUAAUAAUUCGAAUGUUGAUAUAACGAAACUACUUCUUGAUGCUGGUGCUCUUAUUGACAGUGAACCAGACCUUAUGAAAAUUGGUGUUGAAAAGAAAAAUAUAACAAUGAUUAAACUUUUAUUAUCAUGUGGAAUACAAGUCAAUGAACCUAACUUUGAAGGUAUUACACCACUACAUUAUUCUAUCGUAAGUUAUUCAAAGUUUUACAAACUUGGCUUACUUGAAUGGGAAUCGGAAACAGAUGUCAAUAGUGAUAAUACUAAAUAUCCGAUAGUAGAAAUGCUAUUAGAUCAUGGAGCAAAUGUAAAUGCUCAGACGAAUGAAGGAAAAAUCACACCUCUUCAUGCGGCAGUAGAAAAAGAUUAUCCGAAUAUUGUAAAGCUUCUUUUAAAAUAUAAUGCGAAUAUGAAUCUUUUAGAUUCGAGUAAUUUUACACCAUUUUAUCUUGCUCUACUCAAGAAACGUAAAAUUAUCAUUGAUAUUUUUUUAGAAAGAGAUAUAGACAUCAACUUCAAGAAUGGAUUCGGUAGUACACCUUUACAUAUAAGUUGCAUUUCAGCUGAUAUACAAAUCAUUGAAAAAUUAUUAUCAAGAAACGUACCUAUUAAUUGUGUUGAUAGGUAUGGAAGAACUGCACUACAUAUCGCAUGUGAAACAGGCAACUUCGUACUGAUUAAUCUUCUUUUGGAUUAUAAAGCCGACAUAAAUAUUAAAAAUAAAUUUGGGCAGACUCCAUUUCAUAUUUUAGCUAAACUCCAUACUAUGAAUUCGUACGAUAUAGGUGAAGAUCGUACUAAAGUUUGUGAACGUUUUGUAAGUUUGGGCGCCGAUAUUAAUGUAGGAGAUGUAGAAAAUAAAUCGCCACUCUUCACUGCUUGUUUGUAUGGUUGUAAACAAGUUAUAGAGGUUCUUUUAAAACACAAAGCAGAUAUACAUCAACGAGAUGUUUUUAAUAGACCACCUAUUUAUGUCGCUGCCGGAAAAGCAGCAAAAAAUACAGGAAUUCUUAAAUUACUUAUUGAUAACAAUGCAAGUACUGACUUUAUUGAUAUGAAUAAAAAUACAAUUAUUCACAUCGCAGCUGCUGCUAAUAAUCUCGAUGUUGAUGAUGUAAUUGACCAAAUAGAUGUUGAUAUAAAUGCCGUAAAUAGCGACGGAAAUACAGCUCUUCAUAUUGCUGCGAAAAAUGGAUUUUGUAAAGUAGUUCGUUCUCUUAUUUAUAAUGGAGCAGACAUGAACUGUCUCAAUGCUGAAAAUAAAACUCCUGUUCAUGUUGUUAGGGAUAAGAUCACGUUAAUUCAAUGCGAAAUCGAGAAAUAUCGUGAUAAUUCACGGCUUAAUGAUUUUUUAGACAAUAGACUUUUUUGUUUGAAUUUUAGUAUUAAUAAUUACAUAGAAAUUAUGGAAUGUUUCUAUUCUUUUUGCAUUCAAUUGCAUAAAGCUCAUCUGUAUGUUGAUCCGGAACUUGUUGAAAUAAUUCAGGCUUAUCCUAGUAAAGAUAUGAAUCAAUUUGAAGAUGAAUGUACACUAGAAUUAUUGGCGAUGAAACAAUCAUAUAUUUGUGAUAUAAGUUGGUAUCGUCUACUGACUUGUAGAAUUCACGAUAUCGCUAAAUUUGAAAAGAAUGAAAAAGUCAAGUCUAUCUUGUUUGAUAAAAAACAAAUAUUUCCUUUGUAUCAAAAUAUUAUAAAAUUCCGGUUCAAACAAGGAAUAGAAAGGAACAAGCAGAUGAAGUUUAUUCAGUUAUAUCAUUGUUGGAAUCGAAGUAUUUUUAAGGGUAUGCCGUACAGUUGUGUCGAUAGCAUUUUUUAUUAUCUCGACAUAAAAGAUAUAUUAUUGUUCAAAGAUGCUGUAACAGGUCGUUGCAAUAAGUAAUUGUAAUUGAUUAUAAUUUAAAAAUUAAUUCAAUAUUUUUAAUAAUUUAAGGUCUGUAUCUUUACAUUCCAUUUGUAUAAAAAACACUCUUGUAAAUAAUCAUUUUAAUUUAAUAUCAGAGAUUUAUAUCAACUACACUAGUUUCGAAUAUGACUAUUUUGAUUGAAAUGCGUGUUUUUGGCAAUAGUACUGUAAUCAUCCUUUUAUCAAAUUAAAACUUAAAAAUUUUUAUGACAUGUAAAAUUGUAAAUUAAAUUAUGGAAAUAUUUUGAUGUUGUUAUUGUGAUGUAUAAUAUCACUUUAAAAAAAUUUUAAACAGAAAUACACGGCCUAAGUCAAAUUAUAUCUAACUCUGAAAUUUUAUACAAAAAUUUAAGCUAUUAUUAAGUGUAUGUUUUUCGCUAAUAUUAAAUAAUUUUUACUUUUCUUGCGUUCGAAAUGAUGUCAUUCAUAAAAUCCAGGGAUUCCGUGGAUAAUUCAACACCUUAUAUACAACUGUUUUUUUAUUUCAGUGUACUACCAAUCUGAUAUUAUAUUGAGAGAUUUAAUUUUGUUCUUUGAA